rnacentral:rRNA from 1 species
UACGUAGGGGGCAAGCGUUGUCCGGAUUUAUUGGGCGUAAAGAGCGUGUAGGCGGCUAGGUAGGUCCGUUGUGAAAACUCGAGGCUCAACCUCGAGACGCCGAUGGAAACCAUCUAGCUAGAGUCCGGAAGAGGAGAGUGGAAUUCCUGAUGUAGCGGUGAAAUGCGCAGAUAUCAGGAAGAACACCCGUGGCUAAGGCGGCUCUCUAGUACGGUACUGACGCUGAGACGCGAAAGCGUGGGGAGCGAACAGG